CAAAUACUACCCUUGUCUGGAAUUACUUGUUGCAGAAAUAAAUAAAAAUAGAUGUAUCUAGAACUAAAAUACGUCUAGAUACAUCCAUUUCUCCGGCAAGUAAUUUCGGACGGAGGGAGUAGUUG
rfam:Triticum aestivum genome assembly, contig: Triticum_aestivum_CS42_TGACv1_scaffold_641224_T_1DL-0.249102_3DS-0.136609